GGGGAAUAUUGGGCAAUGGGCGCAAGCCUGACCCAGCAACGCCGCGUGAGGGAAGAAGGCUUUCGGGUUGUAAACCUCUGUCCUUGGUGACGAACACAAUGACGGUAGCCAAGGAGGAAGCCCCGGCUAACUACGUGCCAGCAGCCGCGGUAAUACGUAGGGGGCGAGCGUUGUCCGGAAUUACUGGGCGUAAAGGGUGCGUAGGUGGCACUUUAAGUUGGAUGUGAAAUACCCGAGCUUAACUUGGGGGCUGCAUCGAAUACUGGAGAGCUAGAGUGCAGGAGAGGGAAGUGGAAUUCCUAGUGUAGCGGUGAAAUGCGUAGAUAUUAGGAGGAACACCAGUGGCGAAGGCGACUUUCUGGACUGUAACUGACACUGAGGCACGAAAGCGUGGGGAGCAAAC
rnacentral:rRNA from 1 species